UGGCAUAGCGGUUAAGUGCUGUGGCUGUUAAUCACAAGGUCGGCAGUUCAAAUCUGCC
rnacentral:tRNA from 1 species